rnacentral:lncRNA from 1 species
GAUCAGGCUGGCCUCAGACUCAGACAGAGCCACUUGACUCUGCUUCUCAAGUGUUGGGGUAAAAGCUUGUGCCACUAUGUCUGAUGCCACUGAAGAAAGCAUCUCGUUCAGAUUCUGUUGGGCACAGCAUCUGGGAAAUUUAGAUCCACACUGUGCAAACUUUCUGAUUUCUCACAAGGCAGAAAUAAAGAUUAUUUUAUGUUGAAAACUGUAAAUGUUUAUUUAUUUAUUUAUUUAAUAUAUGUAAGUACACUGUCACCAUUUUCUGACAAACCAGAAGUGAGCAUCAGAUUCCAUUAUAGGUAGUUGUGAGCCACCAUGUGUUUUCUGGGAAUCAAACUCAGGAACCCUGUAAGAGCAGUCAGUGCUCUUAGCCAGUGAGCUAAGAAAACAGUAAAUCUUUAUAUUUGUAGUUAAUUUAAAAACAUAAAAGGCACAGUGUAGUUCAGUCAGAACACAGGUAUGGGCAUCAGGUCUCUGCUCCUACCUGUUGACCUUAUCCUUUGCUUUGUAGUUCGUGGCCACAUCAUCCCCCUUUUUUUGAUUGUGAACUUUCAGGAAGAACAGUAUAGAGCUAGGCACAAAAACCAGUCAGCUAUUGGAAAUUAGGUAAGCUUAUGACAACAUUGCUAUGGACAAGUUUGAAGAAGCUGUCUGUCUUAGCAAACAUGAACUGAUCACCAGGUUUUUGGGUUAAAUAAAAAGCAGCUACUUCACUCAGGGUACAGGAGGGACAAACAGGCUUAGCAUACUAGCACUGGUUGCCUGUUCAGGCCUGUCCCAUUUUCUCUCUCCUGUCAGCUCUUCUCCUUGGAGUUGUGGUUCUUUAAGGUUUCUUUCUUUCUUUCUUUCUUUCUUUCUUUCUUUCUUUUUUUUUGGUCAUUUUGAGACAGGGUUUCUCUGUAUAGCCCUGGUAGUCCUGGACCUCACUUUGUAGACCAGGCUGGCCUUGAACUCAGAAAUUCGCCUGCCUCAACCCCCUCUUGUUUUCUCAGCAUGUAUUUCAGGCCAGCCUGAGUCUUCUGCCUUUUUCCUCCCAAAGUGUUGGAAUCAUGGCAGGAGCAGUUGACCCAAAUGGACUUUGAAUUGGUGUAAGUGAGCUCUCUUGCUGAUUUGCAGUGGUAUGGAGUGUUAAGAGAUGGUGAGAUGACACAGCUUGGAAAGCACUGAGAAGAGGGGUGGGGUAAGGAAUGAGAUCUCAGUGGAGUAAGGGCAGCUUGUGCCUGAAGCAUUAUAUACUUCCAUGAGCAGUCAUUAAAUACCUUUCUGUAUUCAUGAAUGUUCAUGUGAUAAUAACAAAACUAUACAUCAUGGGUUCUUGUUUAAAGUUUAUUAUAAUAUCAUGCCUUCUUGUGCCUUGAAACUCGCUCCUCC